rnacentral:rRNA from 1 species
UACAGAGGUCUCAAGCGUUGUUCGGAUUCAUUGGGCGUAAAGGGUGUGUAGGUGGCGCUGUAAGUCGGGUGUGAAAUUUCGGAGCUUAACUCCGAAACUGCAUUCGAUACUGCGGUGCUUGAGGACUGGAGAGGAGACUGGAAUUUACGGUGUAGCAGUGAAAUGCGUAGAGAUCGUAAGGAAGACCAGUGGCGAAGGCGGGUCUCUGGACAGUUCCUGACACUGAGGCACGAAGGCCAGGGGAGCAAACGGG